CAGGAGGGCUGCCAGGACUAGCGUACUUUCCCAGCUUUCUGCCAGCCACUCCCUGCCAUGAACCCUAAACUUCAGCUACAGCAGACCCAUUGGGAUGCUGGUGGCCCUAACCUCUCAGUUUCUGUCUUGUGCUGGAUUUCUUUUACUUAGAAAACCCUUUUUGCUAUUUUCCUGGUAAUCUUAUUCCUCAAAGGAUAGCUCAAAUGUCACAGCCUAUAUGAAGAUUCCAGGACAAACACCUCCAAGCUGGAAGCUUUAUAGCUCCUUCAUCAGAAUUCUUACAAUACUGUGUACAUAACUCAUUUACAAUUUUUGCCACAUAGUAUUCAAGUAAAUUGUAUGUCUCAAUAUUCCUGAAGAUUUUGAACAUCUGGAGAUUAGUGAAUAUGUUUUCAAUUCAUCUAGAUUUCCAGAUAUUUAUGGAGCAUCUGCUAUGUGAUAAAGACAUAAUUCCUGCCUUUAAGAGCUCAUAGUCUACUGUGGAAGGAGAUGUGAGGGUUGUGUCACUGAAAAUUGCUUCUAGCACAGUGAGGUAAGUGCACAGAUAUGUGUGUGUGUCAAGACUCUGAGAAUUCAGAGAAGGG
rnacentral:lncRNA from 10 species